UGCAUGUCUAAAAGUAUAAGCAAUUAUACUGCGAAACUGCGAAUGGCUCAUUAAAUCAGUUAUCGUUUAUUUGAUUGUACCUUACUACUUGGAUAACCGUGGUAAUUCUAGAGCUAAUACAUGCUAAAAACUCCGACUUCGGAAGGGAUGUAUUUAUUAGAUAAAAAACCAAUGCCCUUCCGGGGCUCUUGGUGAUUCAUAAUAACUAAUCGAAUCGCAUGGCCUUGCGCCGGCGAUGGUUCAUUCAAAUUUCUGCCCUAUCAACUUUCGAUUUUUGGGUAUUGGCCAACCAUGGUUUCAACGGGUAACGGGGAAUUAGGGUUCGACCCCGGAGAGGAAGCCUGAGAAACGGCUUACACAUCCAAGGAAGGCAGCAGGCGCGCAAAUUACCCAAUCCCGAUUCAGGGAGGUAGUGACAAUAAAUACUGAUACAGGGCUCUUUUGGGUCUUGUAAUUGGAAUGAGUACAAUUUAAAUCCCUUAACGAGGAACAAUUGGAGGGCAAGUCUGGUGCCAGCAGCCGCGGUAAUUCCAGCUCCAAUAGCGUAUAUUAAAGUUGUUGCAGUUAAAAAGCUCGUAGUUGAACCUUGGGCCUGGCUGGCCGGUCCGCCUCACCGCGUGUACUGGUCCGGCCGGGCCUUUCCUUCUGGGGAAGCCCAUGGCCUUCACUGGGUGUGGGGGGGAAACAGGACUUUUACUUUGAAAAAAUUAGAGUGUUCAAAGCAGGCCUAUGCUCGAAUACAUUAGCAUGGAAUAAUAGAAUAGGACGUGUGGUUCUAUUUUGUUGGUUUCUAGGACCGCCGUAAUGAUUAAUAGGGACAGUCGGGGGCAUCAGUAUUCAAUUGUCAGAGGUGAAAUUCUUGGAUUUAUUGAAGACUAACUACUGCGAAAGCAUUUGCCAAGGAUGUUUUCAUUAAUCAGUGAACGAAAGUUAGGGGAUCGAAGACGAUCACCGUCGUAGUCUUAACCAUAAACUAUGCCGACUAGGGAUCGGACGAUGUUAUAUUUAAUGACUCGGUCGGCACCUUACAAGAAAUCAAAGUUUUUGGGUCCAGGGGGGGAGUAUGGUCG
rnacentral:rRNA from 1 species